rnacentral:rRNA from 1 species
UACGGAGGGUGCAAGCGUUAUCCGGAUUCACUGGGUUUAAAGGGCGCGUAGGUGGCUUUGUAAGUCAGUGGUGAAAUCUUAGAGCUCAACUCUAAAACUGCCAUUGAUACUGCUUAGCUUGAAUCACGUCGAGGUGGAUGGAAUAUUACAUGUAGCGGUGAAAUGCUUAGAUAUGUAAUAGAACACCGAUUGCGAAGGCAGUUCACUAGGCGUGUAUUGACACUGAGGCUCGAAAGCGUGGGGAUCAAACAGG